AUCCGUGUCAUUCAAAAACCCUAAUUCUAUCAAACACAAAAACUCUCAUCUAGGUAUCUUUAUCAUCUUCAACAUGCUUUCAGAUCUUGAAGAUCCAUCCAAUUCUCCUUUUCCUUCGUUCAUCCCUUUUCAUUAUCAUCGAUUUUCUUUUGUCUUCCCCUUUCAUAAUCCUCUGUAAACCCUAGAGGAGUCUACACCAGUUCUUCGAGGUUACUGAUUCAAUCUGAUGGAAUGAUGGAUCUUUAUUUAGGCAUUUGGAGAGAGGGAAAUGGUCGAUAUAUGGCAAUAAGAGAGAGGGAGUGAGUGUUAGAGAUAGAGACGGUGGUGGCUGUUGUUGCGACACCACUCGCCACCGGCGACGAGGAUGACCAUCGGUGGUCAAGGGUUUAGAAUAGCGGUCUCGCUUAUGACCACAGUGGCCUCCGGCAAGCGUUACAUAGUCGAUUGGCUCCCGCUUCGUUUUUACCCAACAUGUGUCGAUUUCUUCAUCUCGAAGGGUUUUUAGAAUCCUCCAAUUGAUUUGAUGUUGAAUGUUCAUUUGUAAGGUAGAUGGAUCCAAGUUUUGCCACGGUUUUAGUCUACCUAAAAUCCUUUUAUUUGGUGAGUUUUCAAGGUACAUCAUUAGCUUUCUUGAUGUCCUUAUAUGCUUUUGAGGUUAAAAAGUGGGGUUUAGACAUCCUAAACUGUGAUCUCAAAGUUAUAUGGUAUUUAGACAUUCAUUUUUGUUGUUUUACACGAAGAAUCAAGCUCAAUCUUCUUUCGAUCUGGUAGGUUUUCAACUUGAUUUAUGUUGGUUUUUUAUUCAGCUGUGUGGUUGAAGUUGCGUAGGUGAUAUAUGUUGCCCUAAAAGUCGAUAACUUUAUUUGACAAUUACUGAUUAUCCCUUAUUUUGUAACAAUGAUUUCUUGCAUAGUCUGGAUGCUAUAUUAUAUGUUGGUGGAAUCAUAGAGGACCACUGAGAAUCUACCACAAAGUUUGCAAUUAUGGUUGGUGCAUAAGUUAAUACAACAGGUAAAUGAUUUUGUUAAAUGACUUCAAGAAACUAUUGGUUUUUUUCCAUACUUAUAGCCUUAUUUUUCGGUAUUAUAAAUUUGUUAGUGUAACUUUUGAUGCUUGCUCCGUAGCCUUGCAACGGAGACGAAAGAUUGUUUAUAUGUCAAUCCGUAUGCCUUAUUACACUUUUUACCAAAAAAUUUCUUUUACGGGAACUUAAACCUUACCGUAUAUAUUAUUAUUUUUGUAUAGAAGUUAUGAAAUGGGUAGUAAAAGAACGUCAAGUCUAUGUAUAAUAGAUUUGGGUGUAUGUAUAUCUAGCAAAAUAAGUGGGGUAACGGGUUAAAAUGGGUUCGAGGUUUGGGUCAAACCUAUACGAAACUUGAUUUCCGAUCAAUUUGAAUAUUAUCUUCAUCGAUUUUGAACUAUAUGCUUUCCGAUGUGUAUGGAAACUUGAUUUCCGGUUGAUUUGAAUAUUGCUAACCACUUAUUGUUUUGUUAUUAAUUACAUGUUAAGUUUCAUCGAUCGUUGUCGCC